AUCCUGGCUCAGAUUGAACGCUGGCGGCAGGCCUAACACAUGCAAGUCGAGCGGUAGCACAGAGAGCUUGCUCUCGGGUGACGAGCGGCGGACGGGUGAGUAAUGUCUGGGAAACUGCCUGAUGGAGGGGGAUAACUACUGGAAACGGUAGCUAAUACCGCAUAACGUCGCAAGACCAAAGUGGGGGACCUUCGGGCCUCAUGCCAUCAGAUGUGCCCAGAUGGGAUUAGCUAGUAGGUGGGGUAACGGCUCACCUAGGCGACGAUCCCUAGCUGGUCUGAGAGGAUGACCAGCCACACUGGAACUGAGACACGGUCCAGACUCCUACGGGAGGCAGCAGUGGGGAAUAUUGCACAAUGGGCGCAAGCCUGAUGCAGCCAUGCCGCGUGUGUGAAGAAGGCCUUCGGGUUGUAAAGCACUUUCAGCGGGGAGGAAGGCGUUAAGGUUAAUAACCUUGGCGAUUGACGUUACCCGCAGAAGAAGCACCGGCUAACUCCGUGCCAGCAGCCGCGGUAAUACGGAGGGUGCAAGCGUUAAUCGGAAUUACUGGGCGUAAAGCGCACGCAGGCGGUCUGUCAAGUCGGAUGUGAAAUCCCCGGGCUUAACCUGGGAACUGCAUUCGAAACUGGCAGGCUAGAGUCUUGUAGAGGGGGGUAGAAUUCCAGGUGUAGCGGUGAAAUGCGUAGAGAUCUGGAGGAAUACCGGUGGCGAAGGCGGCCCCCUGGACAAAGACUGACGCUCAGGUGCGAAAGCGUGGGGAGCAAACAGGAUUAGAUACCCUGGUAGUCCACGCCGUAAACGAUGUCGAUUUGGAGGUUGUGCCCUUGAGGCGUGGCUUCCGGAGCUAACGCGUUAAGUCGACCGCCUGGGGAGUACGGCCGCAAGGUUAAAACUCAAAUGAAUUGACGGGGGCCCGCACAAGCGGUGGAGCAUGUGGUUUAAUUCGAUGCAACGCGAAGAACCUUACCUACUCUUGACAUCCAGAGAACUUAGCAGAGAUGCUUUGGUGCCUUCGGGAACUGUGAGACAGGUGCUGCAUGGCUGUCGUCAGCUCGUGUUGUGAAAUGUUGGGUUAAGUCCCGCAACGAGCGCAACCCUUAUCCUUUGUUGCCAGCGGUCCGGCCGGGAACUCAAAGGAGACUGCCAGUGAUAAACUGGAGGAAGGUGGGGAUGACGUCAAGUCAUCAUGGCCCUUACGACCAGGGCUACACACGUGCUACAAUGGCAUAUACAAAGAGAAGCGACCUCGCGAGAGCAAGCGGACCUCAUAAAGUAUGUCGUAGUCCGGAUUGGAGUCUGCAACUCGACUCCAUGAAGUCGGAAUCGCUAGUAAUCGUAGAUCAGAAUGCUACGGUGAAUACGUUCCCGGGCCUUGUACACACCGCCCGUCACACCAUGGGAGUGGGUUGCAAAAGAAGUAGGUAGCUUAACCUU
rnacentral:rRNA from 1 species